AGCUCCAAUAGCGUAUAUUAAAGUUGUUGCAGUUAAAAAGCUCGUAGUUGAAUUUCUGUCAUGUGCGAACUGGCGUGCUUUAUGGUAUUGUCUGGUUCGCAUUGACAUUCUUCGGGUUACGCAGGCUUCUUAAUUGAGGUUUGUGAUAUCCUGGACAUUUACUUUGAGAAAAUUAGAGUGUUUCAAGCAGGCAUUUGCCUUGAAUACUACAGCAUGGAAUAAUAAGAUAGGACUUUGGUUCUUUCUUGUUGGUUCGGAGAACUAAACUAAUGAUUAACAGGGACAGUCGGGGGCAUUCGUAUUUAACAGUCAGAGGUGAAAUUCUUAGAUUUGUUAAAGACGAACUACUGCGAAAGCAUUUGCCAAGGAUGUUCCCA
rnacentral:rRNA from 1 species